GACGAACCGUCCUAACGUUGUUCGGAUUCACUGGGCUUAAAGGGCGCGUAGGCGGGCCCGCUAGUCCGGGGUGAAAGCUUUCGGCUCAACCGGAAAAGUGCCUUGGAAACUGCGGGUCUAGAGGGAGGUAGGGGCAUGUGGAACUUCUGGUGGAGCGGUGAAAUGCGUAGAUAUCUGGAGGAACACCGGUGGCGAAGGCGGCAUCCUGGACCGACACUGACGCUGAGGCGCGAAAGCUAGGGUAGCAAACGGG
rnacentral:rRNA from 1 species